CCCUGGUUAGCUAUGUUGGUAGAGCGCUCCACCUGUAAUGGAGAGGUCCCGGGUUCGAUACCCGGACCAGGCG
rfam:Ixodes scapularis strain Wikel colony gcontig_1107728803298, whole genome shotgun sequence.